rnacentral:rRNA from 1 species
CACGCUGUAAACGAUGAAAACUAAGUAUUGCCGCGAGGCAGUGCUGUAGCUAACGCAUUAAGUUUUCCGCCUGGGGAGUACGCUCGCAAGAGUGAAACUUAAAGGAAUUGACGGGGGCCCGCACAAGCAGUGGAGCAUGUGGUUUAAUUCGACGCUACGCGAAGAACCUUACCAGGACUUGACAUGGAAUUUAAAACUCUAGAGAUAGAGUUUUCCCUUCGGGGACAUUGGUGACAGGUGG